GGUCAACAGUCAAGACUGCUUGGAAAAAUGCCGCAGGCAUGUGUAGCGUUUGGCUGCGCAAACAGACGAAACAUUCAAAACAGGCAUCGCGGGAUAACUUUUCACAAAUCAGUAAGGAGUCCAUGCACAAUAUCCACUCUACCUAUGCUGUCUACAUUUUUCCUGAGCUUGACUGGUUCUGGCUACACAUACUCACUGUACUGAAUGAACACAGACACUGAGGUCAGCAGUUCCAUGGAGCAAUGUGUUAUGUGGCGUACGGAGGAAUAGUGAAGAGCCUGAGCCUGAUGGGAAAAAAUGGAGGGCUUCAGUGGAAUGGGGAGCAUUGUGCUCGCAUUCUUUGGACUCUUGAUUUAUUUGGACUGAUAUGCUACUCAUCAGACCGCAGAUGCACAUAUGAAGUCCUGAAGACUUUCCUCGAUCUGGAUGGACAGAGGAUGUCGUCAAAGGGACAAUUCCUGAAAAACAAGCUGCUGGUGGAAGUGAGUUUGAAAAAGACUGAAAAUCAUGCAUAUAUCCUGAAGUAUUUAUCCGUAUCCCAGGUAGGUUGGGUUUUUCCACUGCACACUGUACAAAGUGUAAAGCUUUGAAAGCGCAGGAAAAAGUGAAAGAUAUCUCAAAGUAAUAUUUGAUAAAAAAAUUUAAUAAAAAAGAUUUCUAUCCUUAACCAAAUGGUAACACCUCUCGGUAUAACUCUGCUCAGCAUCACCACAAACUACAUCCUCUAAAAUGACCAUACAGUUAUAUCAGCAUCUCUCUAAAACAGUAGCAUCAAAAACUGAACAUUAGAACCUUUAUUAGAAUC